rnacentral:lncRNA from 1 species
CAAAAGUCAAAACCCUAGACAAUACAAUCCGCCGCGCGUCUCUCUAUAUUUAAGUAUCCGAGUACCAAUCUUUGCUCAACCAUGGAGGCGGCUGAGCAGAACACAACUGUAAGCCUUCUCCUUUCAGUAUUUCAACUACAAAAAUCCGCUUUCAAAUCAAGAUAUUAAAGGAUGCCAAUUUAUAUGUAAAUGUUUACUCUGUGGAUCACUGUAUAUUUUACAUUUAUCGACAGAAUUUGGGUAAAAAUCGAGGAAAAUGAUGAUCAUUUUUUGUCGCCCCAGUCUUAAUCUACAUCUACACCGUAGAUGUAAUGUGGUGAUUGACAUUUAGUUUGAUUCCUCUUAUUCUUAUAAAUUGAUUAUUUAUUUUAAUUGUUAUUUAAUUUCUGAAUCUGAAUGUCAUAUCCAGUUUCUAUAUAAUUACGUGCAUACUUUCUUUUGUUGACAUAAUUUACAUUUAAUCUGGAAAUGUAAUGUGUUGAUCGACAUUUCAAUUGGUUCCUCUUUUACGUAUAAUUGGGAUUUUAAUAAUGAUUUCUGAAUCUGAUAAUGAUAUCUAGUUUCUGUAUAUGGAGAUGUGAUGAUGUUUGUCCACCUAUUCUGCAAUUGAAUGAUGAUUGUAAAACAUGCACUACCAUCUGAUCUCUAUUGCUUCUAUCAAGAUUCUUGCUUCUGCUUCUUCUUUAUUUAUUUAUUAUUUUAUUUUAAAGUUACAUAUUUUUAUUUUCUCAAAUCUGAUUUUCUUGUACACUAAUUAUAAUCAAGUUAUGCAAUCAAUGAAGUGACCUGUUGUUACUGAUUUAUGCGUGAUUAUUACAAAACUUAUCACCAUCUUUCGGCUGAGAUUGCAAUAUAUUAUCUUUCUUUUCCACGUCUGUUUCACAACUUUUUUCUUACUAAUUUUUGUAAUUUACUCUUGUGUGGCUCUAUAUUUUAAAAUCUAGUUUCAACCACACAUUCUUUGAAUAGAAUAAAUUUGUUGAUGCAUCCAUAACUUUUUCUCUACUUUUUAAUUGUGCAUUAUUCAAAAAAAUUACUUUUCUCAAAAUCAUUUUUCAAAAAAAUCUUAGUCCAAUAGGGAACAAAAGAAGUGCAUAAAAUGAUGUUGCCCGUGGUAUCUAAUGUCCUGAAACAUAUUCUGUUGAUGGAUGUUUCAUUUUGAGGGCAGAAAUAAAGUAAAGAACAGGUCUUGCGACACGGAUUGCUUUAAUUUUAAAAGCUUUCUGUUACUUUAACCCUGUUCAUAUUUGUUUACAUGUUAAAAGAUGUACUUUUGUUCUAUUUAUUUAUUUUAUUUUAUUUUUUAUUUUUUACUUCUCAUCAGUUUUAUAUUGUUAGCUCCCGUUUGGUUUUGAUUUUUCAAGCUAAUUUUUUUUUGACCGUUGGUUAACAUGGUCACACGUCAUUUUUGACUUCUUCACUUAUAGGUGGAAUCCAUAAUUUUCUCUAACGGUCAAAAAAUUGAUUCUAAAAAUAAAUACCAAACAUGUCCUUAAUCAAAAAGUUGUAGAAUGUUAGGCUACAAAUAAAUAUCAACUUAAGUUGGGUUAUUAGGAUAAAAUAUCCCUACGUUUUGGCGUGUUUCAAUUUUUUGCAUUUUUCACCUUUAUUUUCACGUUUCAUUGUCCAAAUUGUUCUUUUCAUCUAAUUUUUCAAUAAAAAAUUGUGAAAUGAUGCAUAUAGCAUCCUAUUUAAAUAAAAAAAAAACAAAAGAAAAGAAAAAUAAAUAAGUAAUUGUAAUUAUAAUGUCAAUUUUUAUUUUUUUUUAAAAAAAAAUACAAAUGAAUCCUAAAUAAUUUAUUGAAAAAUUUUAAAAAAAUUCACUCUUUUUCCUCCUCCACUACCACAAAACCAAUCCCAAUCUCCCCAAUAUAUUUAGAGGAAAUUACGUAGCUACAGCUACUAAAAGAUCACAUUUCAUAUUCCAGGGCUGAAGUUUAUUUGUGCAGUUUUCAGGUUGGAAAUAUUUAACCACCCACUACAAAACCUAAUCCCCAUUCCCGUAUCUCUUGACUAUCUUCUCCCAAUUCUUAACAGUAUUAGCGUCCUGGAAGAUGUUUUUCGGCGCAACAGCAUCACCACCAUCUCACCGCCAACACUACCACCACCUCGCUGUCGUUGAGCGAUGGUUGGUCAUCUCCAUCCCCGUAUCUAUUCUCUUUUCCCAAUUCUCAACAACAGUAGCAGAGCGCCAUAAAAGAAAAUCUCCCGUGUGACGGCGUCACCACCAUCUCGUCGUCGCUACAUAGCAACGUUAUUGAAGUCGUAAAGCGAUUUUGGGUGGUUUGGGACAAAUAGUUGUUUAGAUCUGAGGAGAUCUAUGUUUUGGUUUUGAAUGUAGCGGAUUUGGCGAUGAACUGGUGGCAACUAUUGUGGUUGAUGGGUGGCAAUGGUGGUGAAAUGAGAGUUGGAAGCUGCUUUGGAAGUGCAGUAUCUGGAUUGGGGAGACGGUGGUGCACUAAUAGCGAUGACAAGGGUGGAGAUGGUAAGAUGUUGUUGUUUACAGUAGCCAUGAAUGAAUGUUGGUUGGAAACGCUGGUUAUGGUGUUGAGAUGGUGAAGUGGCAAAGACGUUGGUGAUGGCUUUUGUAGGGUGUUGGUGGAUCUAUAUCCGUUUUGUUUGUGGUGAGGUAAUGUUAGUUGCGGUGUUUGAAAUGAUGGGGUUGUCGGAGAUGGUGGUGGUGGUUUUGGCAAUAGCGAUUUUGAUAGCAAUGCGACUGGUGGUAGUGGUGAGGUGGUAGUCAUAGAUGAUUUAAUUGUUUGUUACCAAGAAAUUGACAUAUGUGAUCAAUCAUUUAGUUAUACGUGACCAAUUAUUUAGUGUGACCUAAAAAUUUAAUAAUCCGUGACCAAAUGAUUUGGACUCGAAAUAAUCUAUGACCCAUAAAUUUUUGACUUGUGACUUUGAAAUAAAUUGUGACCUUCAAAUUUUUUGAUUUGUGACAUCGAAAAAAUUUAUGACCAAUUAAUUUAAUGAUAUGUGAUCAGUAAAUGAAUUUGUGAUCUAUAAUUUUGAAUAUGUGAUCAUUAAUUGUGUAGCUGUAACUUUAUUAUCAUUAUUUAAUAAAUAUUUUUAAUUAAUUAGUUAAAACCUGAUUUUUGCAUUUAUGAAACUUGUAAUCUAAAUUUUGAAUUAUGCAUAGUUAAAAUUUUGAUUUAUGAACUCUUCCCAUAUAUUUACACCUCCUACCUGCUAAUUGUUGAAAUGUCACCAUCUAUAAACAUGCGUAGCCUUCUUCUCCACAGUCAAAUAGGAUCAAAUCUUUGUCGAUGAACUCAUUUACCGUAGUCCCAAUAGCAUCCACCAUUGUAAUGUCCUGCAGUAAGGUGAAGAUCGGGAUAGUUCGAUAGGCAAAGAUGAAGCCAAGUUUGGAAAGUUAAACCUAUCGUUUUAACCAUAGCUAUUAAACUUUACUCGAUCAAGGCAUCGGAUAUCGGGUUACUAGUCGAACCGGUGAGUUAGUGGUUAGACCGGUAGGUUAAUGCUUAAUAAUUAUAAAAUAUUUUUUAAAAUAUAAAGUUUUUCUUCUAGAUAAAAUAUAAAAAUUUAAAUUAUUUGUCAUUAAUUAUUUAUAUAUUAUUUUGUUAAAUAUUCAACUCAUUUUAAUUAAAAUAAUUAUUAUAAUCUCUUAAAAGGAUUUUUAACAAACUAUAAAUGAUUUAAAUAUACAUAUUUACUGCAAAUAUAAAACAAGAAAAUCUCUAGUAGUUAUAUGGUACUCAUUUUACCUAGAGGUCCAAAGUUCAAAUCUUUUAAAAGCAAAAAAAUUUAUAGAUAGGCUUUUAAAUCUUGGUCAAACCAGUCAACCGAUCGAGUUAAUAUAAAAAUUUCCCGGUUAACUCGGUCAACUCGAUUUUGGUCGAGUCAAUUGCAUUUCUAUGAAAAUAUUCUACCCGGCUCAAUCAAGGGCCUGGGUCACCGGUUCUUUGGCCCGACCGGCCAAUCCAAGCUGGGUUUUAUAACUAUGUUCUUAACCUUUGAGAGUUAAUAAAUUAUCAAAUUUCGACCAACUGGGCAUAUGCGAGAUCUGCUUAUAAUAACAAUCUAGAAAAUCCCCAACAAUGCAGUCGCGAUAGUUGUGGGUUCCAUGUAAUGGGAUUCCAAGGGGAAUGAUGGAGUGAAGGCUAAGAUAAAGUUGGGUUCGAAAUAGUUACGGGUUUGCCAUUAUGUGCUUUGGUUUCGGAGGAACAGUAUCGGUUUGCCAUUGCUUGCUUGGAAAUUUGUUUAAUUUUUAAGUUAAGUGAUUGGUGGUUCAAGAAUAGGCCAUCAUGCACAGUGGAACGAUUCGGGUGGGCUUCCGAUGACCAUAGAAGAAGUGGUGGUGUUAAAAUUUAUUUAUUUAAAAUAAAUACUAUUAGUUUGUAUUUUGUUCUUGUCUAUAGCCAUUUUGCUUAGUAGUUAGAGUUGUUUAGAAAGUGACUGUUGUGGUAGCUUUUCUUUUGCCUAAUUUAUUGGAGUCAGUUUUUUGUAAUUGCCUAUAUAAAGGCUAUGGGUUAAUGAAUAAAAUGAUCAAUUUCAAUACCAACUUCUCUCAAUUUUUUCUCUCAUGUUCUUCACUUUAUUUGGUGUAGUAGAACAUUAUCAUUUCUAGUGCAGCAAAACACUAUUUUUUCUUUUAUCUGUAGACAGUGGUAUCAGAGCCCAUAACCCACAGUUCUCAGGUUAGAAAGAGAUGGGGAGCAAAGAGACUUGACGAAAGUUCACAAAUGGCUUCCAAAAAUUUUUAAAGCCAGCCAUUUCGUGGUUUGAUGGUCAUUAUGACCAUUGGAGCAUCUUAUGGAAAACUUCUUAAGAUUUAAGAAGUAUUGGCAUGUUGUUGAAUCUGGUACAGCAGCACCUACAACACCUAAUAAUGGCAUGGCAAUUACAUAUGCACAAAAAUAGAGCCGGAGGGGCUGAAGUUGAAAGAUGUAAAGGCAAAAAAUUAUUUGUUCUAGGCCAUUGAUCGAUCUAUCCUUGAAACUAUUCUCAGCAAAAAAAAAAAAAAAAAACUUCUAAGGAUAUUUUGGAUUCAAUAAAGAAAAAUAUCAAGGCUCUUCCAGAGUAAAGUGUGCACAGCUUCAAGCCUUGAGAAGGGAGAGUUUGAGACUUUACAAAUGAAGGAUGGUGAAUCCAUGACCAUCAUUGUGUAAAGACUAUGGAAAUAGUUGACAAAAUGCGAUUCAAUGGUGAGAAGAUGGACGAUGUUGCCAUCGUUGAGAAGAUAUUGUGUUUUUUGGCUUCAAAGUUUGAUUACGUUGUUUGAUCAAUUGAAGAAUCCAAAGACAUAGAUGUCCUUUCACUUGAUAAACUCCAGAGCUCGUUGUUGGUCCAUGAAUAGAAGAUAAAUCAAAAUUUAUCUACAGAAGAGCAAGCUUUAAAGGCUUUUACCUUUAACCAUUCCUCAUAUUCUCGAGGUAGAGGUGGAGGAAAGGGAGAUCGAGGCAAUAGGGAUGGCAAUUGUAGCAGGCAGCAGCCAAAUGAUCAAAAUAAUGAUAAAUUUCAUGGAAAGGCAGAGGAUGGGAAUUCAACAAAUCCAAGGUAGAAUGCUUUCAAAGUCAUAGAUUUGGUCAUUUUCGUUCCGACUGUAAUACUAAGCUUCUUAAUGACAAAGAAAAGGGAUGGGAAUCAAAUUUUACAGAAAAGAAGGAAAUAGAAACUCUAGUGAUGGCUAGUUAAGUCAAUGAGGAACAUAAGUCAAAUAUGUGAUAUAUCGAUACAAGGUGCAGCAACCACAUUUGUGAGAGUAAAUCUUCUUUUUCUUAUCUAAAUGAAGACUUUCGUUCUACGAUGAGUUUUGGUGAUUGUUCUAUUGUUAAGGUAAUGGGAAACGGUGAAAUUAAUAUUAGAACUAAGAACGAUUUUGUAGAAACAAUUUCCAAUGUCUUUAUUGUUUCUGAUUUGAAAAGUAACAAGAAAAGUGCUGGUUAAUUGCAAGAAAAGAUUAUGUAAUAACUAUCCAACUUGGUGUUAGUGAGAUAUAUAAUCCUUUUAGAGGAGCUAUUGUUGCUAUUCAAAUGAGUUCAAACAGGUUGUUUCCUUUGAAGAUUGAAAUUGCUCAACCUUGUUUGAUGGCUGAAAUAAAAAAUCCUUCAUGGCUUUGGCAUUUUCGUUAGAAUAAUACUAUUUGCAAUCACUCACUAUCGUAGUCAUCUUAUGUGGCACACAUGUGAUUGUUAAUUAUUUGAUAUAUGUGGUAAGAAGAAACUAUCAAAUUAAUACAUCAAAUCACAAACCGAAAUGUAGAAUACCAAGUAAGGCAACUACUGCAGUGAUCGACUAUAAAUAGCAUUACUUUUUUCGUUAUGGUAAUUUGAACAUUAGUGGAUUAAGGACAUUUCAAUAGAAAUAUAUGGUGACAUGUCUUCCUCAAAUUGUCACUCCUUGUAAAGUUUGUGAAGAAUGUGUUGUUGGAAAAUAAUAUCGUUCUCAAUUUCCUCAAGGAAAGUCAUGGAGAGCAAAAAAAAUGUCUUGGAGCUAGUUCAUUCCAAUAUUUGUGGGCCAAUUUACCUUCUUGAUGAUUAUUUUCAAAAAAAAACAUGGGUUUAUUUUCGUAGGAGAAAUCAGAAGCUUUUAGUGCAUUCAAAAGCUUUAAGGCGUGUGUGGAGAAUGAAUCAUAAAGAGUCAUUAAAUCUCGUUGCACUGAUCAUGGUAGAGAAUGUUGUUCAUAGGAAUUUGAUGUUUUAUUGUAAUAGGCAUGGUAUUCGAAGGAAACUCACAGCCGCCUAUCAACAAAAUGGCGUGUCAGAGAGGAAGAAUAGAACCAUCUCAACAUGGUGAGAAGCUUGUUGGCAAGAGAGAAAAUUCCCAAAAAUUUCUAGCCCGAGGUAGUAAAUUGGGGCAUUUAUGUGUUGAACAGAAGUCCUACUUUUUCUGUUCAAAACAUGACACCUGAGGAAGCUUGGAGCGGAUGGAAAUUGAAAAAGGCAUUAUAGAGACUAAAGCAAGCACCAAGAGCUUGGUAUAGUCAUAUAGAUGUUUAUUUCUCAAGAAAAGGGUUUCUUAAAUGUCCUCACGAUCAUAAGCAUUUUACAAAGCUAGGAAAUAAUGAUAAAAUGCUUGUUUAUGUGCCUUUAAGUUGAUGAUAUGAUAUAUACUGGUAAUGAUAGUGCUAUGAUUAAUGCUUUUAAGAAAAAUAUGAUGAGUGAAUUUGAUAUGUCAAAUUUGGGAUUAAUGCAUUUUUUCCUUGGUAUUGAAGUUGUGCAAUCAUCUGUUGGUAUCUUUAUGUCACAUUUGACUAAGGAAUUCUGUAUGGAGCAAGAACAAAGGAAAAAUUGUUUGGUUUUUCUAGCAGUGAUUAUGCUAGAGAUCUUGAUGAUAGAAAAAAUACAUUCAUGUUUGUUUUUAUGAUGAGUUUUGGAGUUGUUUCAUGGUCAUCGAAGAAACAACAAAUUGCAACUUUAUUAACCACAGAAGUUGAAUUUGUUGUAACAGCCUCAAGCUCUUGUCAAGUUUUUUAGCUGAGGGGGCUACUGGAACACUUCAAAACCAGCAAAAAGGUCCAACAAUCAUACACCUUGUCAACUAUCAAAAUUUCAAAAAAUUUAGUUCUCCAUGGAAGGAGCAAUCAUAUAGAUGUGAGAUACCAUUUUUUGCGUGAUCUCUGCAAUGGUGGUAUAGUUGAUUCAAUGUUCUGCAAGAGCGAAGAGCAGGUGGCUGAUAUUAUGACUAAAUCGCUUAAACAAGUAGCGUUUGUAAAGCUUAGAAGAAUGUUGGGAGUACGUUCUUCACAGGAUGUCAUUUUAGAUUCUUGAAUUUCUUCUUAAACUGAUUUCUGCAGAUAUCAGUUUAAGGAAGGGUGUUAGGAUUUAUUUAUUUAAAUUAAUUACUAUUAGUUUGUAUGUUCGACUCUAUAGCUAUUUUGCUUAGUGGUUAGAGUUGUUUAGAAAGUAACUUUUGUGGUAGCUUUUCUUUUGCCUAGUUUAUUAGAAUCAGCUUUUGCCUAUAUAAAGGCUGUGGGUCGAUGAAUAAUAUCAUCAAUUUCAGUACCAACUCCUUUCAAUUUUUUCUCUCAUGUUCUUCACUUUAUUUGGUAC